rnacentral:rRNA from 1 species
CAUGCAAGUCGAACGGAAUAAUGGCUUCGGCUAUUAUUUAGUGGCGGAAGGGUUAGUAAUACAUAGAUAAUUUGUUCUUAACUUGGGAAUAACGGUUGGAAACGGCCGCUAAUACCGAAUGUGGUGUGUUUAGGCAUCUAAAUUACAUUAAAGAAGGGGAUCUUCGGACCUUUCGGUUAAGAGAAAGUCUGUGGGAUAUCAGCUUGUUGGUGGGGUAAUGGCCUACCAAGGCUAUGACGUCUAGGCGGAUUGAGAGAUUGACCGCCAACACUGGGACUGAGACACUGCCCAGACUCCUACGGGAGGCUGCAGUCGAGAAUCUUUCGCAAUGGACGAAAGUCUGACGAAGCGACGCCGCGUGUGUGAUGAAGGCUCUAGGGUUGUAAAGCACUUUCGCCUGGGAAUAAGAGAGAUUGGCUAAUAUCCAAUUGAUUUGAGCGUACCAGGUAAAGAAGCACCGGCUAACUCCGUGCCAGCAGCUGCGGUAAUACGGAGGGUGCUAGCGUUAAUCGGAUUUAUUGGGCGUAAAGGGCGUGUAGGCGGAAAGGAAAGUUAGAUGUCAAAUCUUGAGGCUCAACCUCAAGUCGGCAUCUAAUACUAUCUUUCUAGAGGUUGGAUGGAGAAAAGGGAAUUCCACGUGUAGCGGUGAAAUGCGUAGAUAUGUGGAAGAACACCAGUGGCGAAGGCGCUUUUCUAAUUUUUCCUGACGCUAAGGCGCGAAAGCAAGGGGAGCAAACAGG